rnacentral:rRNA from 1 species
UACGUAGGAGGCAAGCGUUGUCCGGAAUUACUGGGCGUAAAGCGCGUGUAGGUGGUGGGACAAGUCUGCUGUGAAAGCGCCUGGCUUAACCGGGCGAGGUCGGCGGAAACUGUCCGACUCGAGGACGGUAGAGGGGGGUGGGAUUCCCGGUGUAGUGGUGAAAUGCGUAGAGAUCGGGAGGAACACCUGUGGCGAAGGCGGCCCCCUGGGCCGGCCCUGACACUGAGACGCGAAGGCGUGGGGAGCGAACGGG